rnacentral:rRNA from 1 species
UACGUAGGCAGCAAGCGUUGUUCGGAGUUACUGGGCGUAAAGGGUGUGUAGGCGGUCCUCUAAGUUUGGUGUGAAAUCUCCCGGCUCAACUGGGAGGGUGCGCCGAAAACUGGGGGGCUAGAGUACUGGAUGGGAGAGUGGAAUUCCUGGUGUAGCGGUGAAAUGCGUAGAUAUCAGGAGGAACACCUGUGGUGUAGACGGCUCUCUGGACAGUAACUGACGCUGAGACACGAAAGCGUGGGGAGCAAACAGG